rnacentral:rRNA from 1 species
AUUGAACGCUGGCAGCAGGCCUUACACAUGCAAGUCGAGCGGAUGAAGGGAGCUCUCUCCUGGAUCGAGCGGCGGACGGGUGAGUAAUGCCUAGGAAAGUGCCUGGGAGUGGGGGAUAACGUCCGGAAACGGGCGCGAAUACCGCAUACGUCCUGAAGGAGAAAGUGGGGGAUCUUCGGGCGUCACGAUAUCAGAAUAGCAUAGGUCGGAUUAGCUAGUUGGUGGGGUAAAGGCCUACCAAGGCGACGAUCCGUAACUGGUCUGAGAGGAUGACCAGUCACACUGGAACUGAGACACGGUCCAGACUCCUACGGGAGGCAGCAGUGGGGAAUAUUGGACAAUGGGCGAAAGCCUGAUCCAGCCAUGCCGCGUGUGUGAAGAAGGUCUUCGGAUUGUAAAGCGCUUUAAGUUGGGAGGAAGGGCAGUAAGUUAAUACCUUGCUGUUUUGACGUUACCAACAGAAUAAGCACCGGCUAACUUCGUG